rnacentral:lncRNA from 1 species
GACCAGGGCUGAGGCCAGGCUGCGGCUAAUCAGACCAGAUGCUUCCGCCCUACCCGGGAGUCGUGUCGUGUCGUGUGCGGGGUGUGCAGAUGUCUCAGCGCAGCAGGCCCAGGGAGCCUGGGCCAGGCCACGCCCGCACGGCUGCUGAAGGGGACUCAGGGACGGGUCACCCGAAGCCUGUCCUCCGGAGGCUCCAUGUCCUGCGUCGGGGAUUUCCUCCAGGGUACAGACACCUGUCCUGUCGCCUCCUGCCUCGCUGGUCCCUGCUGCCCAGAGAGACCCUCCCCUCCCCGGACCUCCUUUGCCCUUGGACACUCCUUGAGGCUUCCAGUUGCCUGCUGGACAAGGACACCUUCCUGGAAAACUUCCACCUUGAGUGGUGGCCAAAUAAGGCCUACCUCUGCUACGAGACGGAGCUCCCCAGCGGUGACCCCGGGGUCCCUCUGGGCCAACACAAGGACGUCCUGUGCAAUAAGGUUGGACCGAUCUCCAUGGUCCUGGGAGCCCCCACAGUGACAUUCAUCCCAUGGACCCUGGGGGCCUCUCUCCUUGGCGCCCCUCCCCCCUUGUCACUGCACAGGGAGCCCUUUUGUAUCCCACAGCAAAUGACACAACGCUUUCCUGCCUCCUCUGUGCUCGGCCUGCCCGGGGAGGUCAGCCGGACUGCCACGCGGAGUUGCGCCGGCUGCAGCGGAUCCAGGCCUGGGAGCUGCUUUCUGUCCUGGAGAACAGACACGUGACCCCACACCCCUUGGCCUCCCGCCUCUAUACCGAGGAAGGAUUUCAGAAUGGGUUGCGCCUCCUGCGGGGGGCCGGGGCCCGCAUCGCCAUCAUGACCUCCACCGGUCCGUGUGGAGCUCCCGGGGUGGGCGGUGGGCAGGGAGAGGCCUGGGGGGACUGGCUACGAAGGCGUGGGCAGGAGUGGAAUCCCUGGCGGAAGCCUCUGGUGGCUGCACAGGCCAGGCUGACCUGGGACGGCAGGGGACAGCGGAGCGUGCUGGAAGAGAGAGUUGGGGCCAGGAGAGGAGUCCGGAACGGGCGGGAGAAUAGCGGACGUGCAAGAGAGACAUGGGGUGUCCCGAGAGGAGGGAAAUCCGGCUGGCCGAGACCGCAGGCUGAAGAAAGAGUCCCAGGGGUGAAAGGAGUCGCAGGGAGGACAGAGGGCAGCGGCGCCGUUAUGAAGGGCAAAGCCUGUCCCUGA